GCACCGUGGACAGCGGCUGCAGUUCAGUGCAGGACGACGGCGAGACGAGCGGAGCGGAGCCUCACCUUCCGCCGCGAUCGCCGUUUUCCUUCAUCAUCUGCCCUUUCUUUAUCAUUUAAAAACAAGUGUUCCGAGCUGAUUGCUAUGUGCUAUGUGCACCGACCCUCUCCCCCCUCGCUGAAACAUCCACUUUGAUUUGUGAAAUUAAGCAUCGCAACAUGAAGAAGUUUCGGAAGGUUUUGGACGGCCUUACGACCUCCGCUCCGGCCGGCGUCGGCGGCGGGGCUGCGACACCUCUGGCCCCGGGGACGGUCCCCAGAGAGCUGGACGUACGGGAGACCUUAGUAUCCGACAACUUUCAGGUCUGUAAGACGACACGACAUGGAUUCCCGUUCCAGCCCACCGCCCUCGCGUUCGACCCAAUUCAGAAGGUUCUGGCCAUCGGAUGCCGGGCAGGUGGGAUGAGGAUACUGGGGAGGCCAGGUGUUGACUGUCACUGCCAGCAUGAGAGUGGAGCUGCUGUCCUUCAGCUGCAGUUCCUCAUCAACGAGGGGGCACUAGUCACGGCAUGUGCAGACGACACACUUCACCUCUGGAACUUGCGGCAAAAACAUCCCGCAGUUCUACACUCUCUGAAGUUUAACAGAGAGCGCAUCACUUUCUGCCACGUCCCGUUCCAGAGUAAAUGGCUGUACGUGGGGACGGAACGUGGAAACACACACAUUGUCAACAUAGAGUCCUUCAUUCUCUCCGGAUAUGUCAUCAUGUGGAACAAGGCCAUAGAACUAUCCACCAAAACCCACCCUGGACCCGUGGUGCACCUGAGUGACAGACCCAGGGAUGAAGCCAAGCUACUGAUUGCAUUUGAGAGUGGGACUGUGGUUCAAUGGGACCUGCGUGCUAAAAAAGCCGACUUUAGAAUCCAGUAUGAUGAGGCCAUCCACUCUGUCAGUUGGCACCACGAGGGGAAGCUUCUUAUGUGCAGCCAUGCAGAUGGCAGUCUGACCACCUGGAACAUGAGGAACACCACCAAACCCUUCCAGGUCACCUUCCCGCACGGAAAAACUCAGAAGGACAGCAAGAAGACAGAAUCAUGCAAGCCCAUCCCAAAGGUUGAGUUUAAGACAAGCCGGAGCAGCAGUGAACCUUUCAUCGUAUUUUCGGGGGGGCUGUCCUAUGACAAGGCUGGCAAGAGGCCGGCACUCACCAUCAUGCACGGAAAGUCUGUCACCGUGCUGGAGAUGGAUCACCCCAUUGUGGAUUUCCUGGUGCUCUGCGAGACCCCAUACCCAAAUGAGGUGCAGGAGCCUUACGCAGUGGCCGUCCUGCUGGAGAAGGAUUUCAUCAUGGUGGACCUGACACAGAGCAAUUUCCCGGUCUUUGAGAAUCCGUACCCCAUGGACAUCCAUGUGUCCCCGGUCACCUGCACGGCUUACUUCACUGAGUGCCCCGCCGACCUCAUCCCCGUUCUCUACUCCCUGGGCAUCAUGCAGAAAAAGCAGACCUUCAGUCACAAGGAGUGGCCAGUGAGUGGUGGAGCUGCAGGUGCCCAAACCGAGCCAGAAAUCAUCCUCACAGGGCACGCCGACGGCUCGGUAAAGUUCUGGGACGCGUCUGCAAUGACCCUGAAGAUGCUCUACAAGGUAAAGACGUGCAAGGUGUUUGAGAAGCCGAAGGUGGCGGAGGGCCGGGGGUCAGAGGUCAUGGAGGAGGACCCCUACGUGGUGCAGUCUCUCAUCUGGUGCCCCCACAGCCAGCUGCUAUGUGUGGUGGGCUUCUCAGCCUAUGCCAUCCUCUACCGAUUCAACAAGCAUGAUGCCACCGCUGAAAUAGUGCCCCUGGAGGUGUAUCUGCAGAGUGAAACAGAGGACAGUGUCUCUCCUGCGUCAGCUGAUGUCCAUCCUGCCACUGUGGAUCCCAGAAUCCGCUCACCACAGCCCUUCCCAGGAAAUCCUGUGAGCACCACGGUCAGCAGUGUGCGAGACAGCGCCCCCCACCUGAAGGUGAAGAUGCGCGCGGUGCGAAUGCCCGCCGGGUACCAGGCCCAGCUUGUCAUUCAGAUCCUGACCGCCGACGGGGAGCCUUCUCAGCAGAUCACCGGAGUAGAUGUCAAUUCCGCAUAUGGCCUGCUGGCUCUGGGAUGUGGUAACAAUCUGGUGCUGGUUGACUAUCUUCAGAAGAGUCUUCUGUUCUGCAUGAAUAUACAGGAGCUUCACAGUGACCCCUACCUACGAGUGCGUUCACCUCACAAGAUCAAGCAGUUUAGCACAGAUCACUUUAGUGUGCGUGGGCUGGCUAACUUCUGCUCUGACUCGAAGAAGAGGAUCCGUACGCCCAAUCAGAGCCUUACCGAACUCUCAGAUAACCCAGUGCCCCCUGAGCUGGAACGGAGCAGGUCACCCACCUCAGUUCCACACUGUGUCUCCCCUCCCAAUGACCCUGGCUGCGUACCAGAACCCGCCUCCGCUGUGAGGGCCAGUCACUACAGCUCAGUCUUGUACCUGCUGGACAGCGUUAAGGGGCCAGGCAGAAAGUUAAGUCUGCCGACUGAUCUUAAGCCCGAUCUUGAUCAUGUGAAUGGCCAGUGCUCUAGCGCAGCGGGCCAGUCCAUGGCCUCAGCGAAGCUCCCCGGGAAGCUCUCAGGUGCGACAGGAGCCACAGGCCCUGAGGCAGUCAGGCUGGGUCGUCGGGGACCGGGCCGGCCGCCCUUUCGCAAGGCUCAGUCUGCCGCAUGCAUGGAAAUCUCCCUGCCCGUGUCCCACUCAGAAGGGUAUGCAUCCCGACGAGCCAUGCUUCAGCAGCUUCAUGGAGUCAGUAUGUAUUCACACGACGAGCACCACGGCACUGCCUAUUCCUGGAGUGAGAGAGAAUCUCGUGAGAGUUCCUUCAGUCGCUCCCGGAGUUCUAGCAUCUCAAGUGUGGACCGAGAGGCCAAGGAAUCCGUCACCGCACUGCACUUCAUGGAGUCGUUUGCCCGCAAGACAGAUGCUGCCCCCUCACCCAGCCUGUGGGUGGGCACCAGCCUCGGUGUGGUGCUGGUCCUGGCCGUGUCAGCAUCUGCGGGAACCCAGGAGAACCAACAGGACUCUGUCACUAUGUCGCCUAGUGGCACUGUGCUAAUGGUCAAAGGUUCAGUUCUGAGGUUUGCAUCUCUGGACUUUAAUGGUAGCCUAAUCCACUCCCCAUACGAGGUGUGGCAGGACCCCCACCUCCAGGAGAAUCCUGAGCGCGGCCGUAGGUGCAAGCUGGCCGUUUCCCGCUCGUCCUCACAGGAAGUACCUGGCGAGGGCCACCUUGUCGUAGUAUGCACAGAGAAGCAGGCUAAAGUGUUCCUGAUGCCGGCACAGACCUGUCUGCAUGCCCACAGCAUCACCGAAUCAUCCUUUGUGCUGUGUGCCGACGUGGUGUCCAUCUGCAACAGCGUCUGUCUGGCCUGCUUCUGCGCCAACGGCCACAUCAUGACCCUCAGCCUGCCUAGUCUGAGACCCCUGCUGGAUGGCAGCUAUCUACCCCUGACGGACACCCGCAUCGCCCGCACAUUCUGCUUUGCCGGCGGCCAGGCUCUCUACCUGGAUUCCCCUACCGAGAUCCAACGGAUCACCUACAGCCAGGAGAUUUGUGACAACCUGCAGGAACUGCUGGGUGAAUUGUUUAUCCCACUGGAGACCCCAGAGGUGCAGAACCGUGGCUUCCUCAAGGGCUUCUUCGGGAGCAGUGUCCAGACUUUGGACAGGGAGGAGCUGUGUAAUCGGGGAGGCUGCAGCAGGGAAGGCAUCACGCAGCUUAGCCCAACACAUCCCUGGCCAAGCGAGUGUGGAGGUCCUGAGGGGAGGCGCCGGGGGAGUGGUGGGGGAGCUGGCGAAGGCCCGGCUGGCUCUGGAUGAGAGAGGGCAGCGCCUGGGGGAGCUGGAGGAGCGAACCUCCCACAUGAUGUCAAGCGCCGAGACCUUCUCCAAGCACGCCCAUGAGCUGAUGUUGAAGUGCAAGGACAAGAAGUGGUAUCAGUUUUAAAUGUUUCAUCAGCUGGACUCGAUCUGUGUCGUGUGGCCAUGUUGGCAUUCAGCAUGCAAGGACAAGGAAAGACCGUGUUCGCUGGCAAAAAGAGCGUGAUGGAGGCUUCUUAGAUGGGAAAAUGGGAGGUGAAGUGCCAGACGCUGUGGAUCGUGAUGAACUGGACUGAGAGCUGCAUGAGGAUGUUCUUCUGUUUCCUGUCCACACUGGACUUCCAUAUGUCUCAGUGUCUGAGUCCCUGUUUUGCCAUAUUUGGGGGGGGGGGGGGUUCUUGUGUCCCUGAGGUCCUGAAUUGCAACUCCUCUAAAGAUAAGACCUGAAGCAGACUGACAAAGAAUGUGCUUUGAAAAAACAAGUUACAUAAAAAGGGUAACUAUAAAACGAUGCUUAGAAAGUAUAUUUACAUUCUUUAUGGAAAACCUAUAUCUACCCACAUUGACCAAAAUAUAUUUUUUUUCUUUUCUCAAACAAAAACUGUUUUAUAUUCAGAAAUGGAGCUGCAGUGUGCUGCAGUGUUUACCUUUCAAACUGAGGGUGUUUGAAUCAUGUCUAAAAUGUCUGAAUGUUAUGACUCAGGGAACAUUCAGCCCUCUAGUUGUUGUUUUUGUAUUUCCAUAGAUAUUAGAACUGGCACAUAAUCAUGAAGAAACUAUUUUCAGUUUUUGUGUCAAAAUGCGCAGGAGUCGCAUGAUCUUAGUCUAUCGUGAAACAGUUUUAGCACAGCUGAAAAAGGUGUUAAAUAUAACAUGUUACAGAGAAACAUCCAGAAAGCUUUUAUAUCUGACUCAAUCAGUCAACUGUUCAGUAGUGUCUGAUGAAGAUUGACGUUUUUUGUCAGUGAUUUUGACAUGUGGGGCAUUGAGAUGGUUUAUUGCAGUGAAUCCAGUGGAUAUACCUUGUCUGCCAAAGCCAGUGACUGUAGUACACUUAUUCAUUUGCCUCACUUACCAUAUAGCUGUCUAAGUUAUGGUAGCAAAAUUUGCACAGUGAUGUCACACAUUUCUCGUAUCGUCUAAAACUGGGUAUAAGUUAAAAAGAGGCAUUAAAAACAAAGACCAAAAUGUGUGAUUAACAGAUCGUUAUGGACUUCCAUGAAUAGUGUCACUAUUAUGAAAACAAGUUGAAAAGUUCAGUCUUGUAGUUUUGUGGUACAUAUAUACAAUCGAAAUCAAAACUCAUGUUGAAGCUGAAUAUGUGUCUGCCUGUUGUUUUACUAAACAUCGCUUUGUAUAAUAUUGCUUGCUUCUAUGGUAACUUUCCAAAACCAGUCGAUAAUAAGAAAGAACUUUUUAAAUUUACAUUUGUAUAAUGUUUGUUGAUAUUUGUAAUGUUUGUAAUAUCGUGCAAAAAUUAUUAUGUUGUGUCAAUAUUGGCAUAUAAGUUCAAAUAUCCUCACAUUCCUUGAGGACUUAAAUUGCCAAAAUUCAUAGUAGUCGCUGUUUCUCAACUGAACUAUGGACGUAUAUUACAUUUAGGUUAAAAAGUGUAAAGGAAAUGCCAUUAACCAAUGUUUUGAUAUGACAGUAUUUUUUUUCAAUGUUUACAACAUCUGUGCUUUCUAAAAAAAUUAAAUGGCGGGUUGCUGGACCUGACCUGAUUGUGGGAAAUACUCAGGACCGACAACAAAUUCUCUCAGUAUUAAAGGUUCUUUGCAAAGCAGAAUCAUACCCCCUACAUACCUAUAAAUUUCAAAAUCAGACCAUCUUUUAUCGCUCGCUGUUUGUGGUAAAUAUUGGUCUAUUUUAGUAUCUUUUCUCAUGUGUAACGUAGAAAAGGCCCAUCAAACAUUACGAAUGAUGCGGUUAAAGUUAAUAAAUUUGACAAGAGUGCAUUUCUGAGGGUCCUGUAGUUUUUAUUUUUUAAAGACCACUUCGUGAAGUUUAAGAAAGAUAUAUAAUUUUUUGCCUUUUGUGUGUCUCAGAAAUAUGACGUGUUGUUAAAUAUUCUUGUAUUAUUGGUAAUACUUGCGUUGAACAUAUCAGUGCACUAGCUUUAAUGAAUAAAGAAUGAAAAUAGAAGUGCUUUUGAUAUAAAAUAUAAAAACGGGGAUACAUACAGUAACCAUAACUUACGUAACCCUAACUGUAUUUUCAAUAGACAGAGCCGCACUUCAUGACUGCCUCUUGCCAAAACUGUAUUUGAAAUUGUAUUUUUGUUAUAGAAUUAUUUGUUCUUUUUAUCAGAGAGAAGAAAGAAUUCUCCUGUCAAACUACUGUCUUCUGUUUUUUUAAUUGAUAUUACUGUAGUGUUUGUCACGCCCCGCUCGUACGAUCCUCGUGUGUGCCACGCCCUCCUGAUUAUCCACGUGUGCUUCCCUGAUCGUACCCAGCUGUGUCUAGUUAUUUUGAUCAGUCCUGUUUAUUUCAGUGCGUGUCUUACCUCAGUUCCUC